UCUCAGUGAUGAAGAUUUUUCAGAUGACGAGUCUGAUCGAAAAUCCAUUCGUUUACAAUCGUGACGACAAAUCGAGGCAUUUGUCUGAGAGAA